rnacentral:rRNA from 1 species
CCUACGGGAGGCAGCAGUGAGGAAUAUUGGACAAUGGGCGCAAGCCUGAUCCAGCCAUGCCGCGUGCAGGAAGAAGCAUCUAUGGUGUGUAAACUGCUUUUGUACGGGAAGAAACACUGCUACGUGUAGCAGCUUGACGGUACCGUAAGAAUAAGGAUCGGCUAACUCCGUGCCAGCAGCCGCGGUAAUACGGAGGAUCCAAGCGUUAUCCGGAAUCAUUGGGUUUAAAGGGUCCGUAGGCGGUUUGGUAAGUCAGUGGUGAAAGCCCAUCGCUUAACGAUGGAACGGCCAUUGAUACUGCCAGACUUGAAUUACUAGGAAGUAACUAGAAUAUGUAGUGUAGCGGUGAAAUGCUUAGAUAUUACAUGGAAUACCAAUUGCGAAGGCAGGUUACUACUAGUUUAUUGACGCUGAUGGACGAAAGCGUGGGGAGCGAACAGGAUUAGAUACCCUGGUAGUCCACGCCGUAAACGAUGGAUACUAGCUGUUCGGGGUAACCUGAGUGGCUAAGCGAAAGUGAUAAGUAUCCACCUGGGGAGUACGUUCGCAAGAAAUUGAAACUUCAAAGAAAUUGACGG